GAUGAACGCUGGCGGCGUGCCUAAUACAUGCAAGUCGAGCGAACAGACGAGGAGCUUGCUCCUCUGACGUUAGCGGCGGACGGGUGAGUAACACGUGGAUAACCUACCUAUAAGACUGGGAUAACUUCGGGAAACCGGAGCUAAUACCGGAUAAUAUAUUGAACCGCAUGGUUCAAUAGUGAAAGACGGUUUUGCUGUCACUUAUAGAUGGAUCCGCGCCGCAUUAGCUAGUUGGUAAGGUAACGGCUUACCAAGGCAACGAUGCGAAGCCGACCUGAGGGGGUGAUCGGCCACACUGGAACUGAGACACGGUCCAGACUCCUACGGGAGGCAGCAGUAGGGAAUCUUCCGCAAUGGGCGAAAGCCUGACGGAGCAACGCCGCGUGAGUGAUGAAGGUCUUCGGAUCGUAAAACUCUGUUAUUAGGGAAGAACAAAUGUGUAAGUAACUAUGCACGUCUUGACGGUACCUAAUCAGAAAGCCACGGCUAACUACGUG
rnacentral:rRNA from 1 species